rnacentral:rRNA from 1 species
CCUACGGGUGGCAGCAGUGGGGAAUAUUGGGCAAUGGGCGCAAGCCUGACCCAGCAACGCCGCGUGAAGGAAGAAGGCUCUCGGGUUGUAAACUUUUUUUUAGCGGGAAGCGCAGAAGACGGUACCUCUUGAAUAAGCCACGGCUUACUACGUGCCAGCAGCCGCGGUAAUACGGAGGUGGCAGGCGGUGUCCGGAUUUACUGGGUGUAAAGGGCGUGUAGCCGGGCUGACAAGUCAGUUGUGAAAUUCCGGGGCUCAACCCCGGGCCUGCAGUUGAAACUGUUGGUCGUGAGUAUGGGAGAGGCAGGCGGAAUGCGUAGUGUAGCGGUGAAAUGCGUAGAGAUUGGGAGGAACACCAGUGGCGAAGGCGGCCUGCUGGACGACAACUGACGGUGAGGCGCGAAAGCGUGGGGAGCGAACAGGAUUAGAUACCCCAGUAGUC